GACGAACGCUGGCGGCGUGCUUAACACAUGCAAGUCGAACGGAAAGGCCUGCUUUCCCUUGUGGAUUGCGGGUACUCGAGUGGCGAACGGGUGAGUAACACGUGAGUGAUCUGCCCCCAACUUUGGUAUAAGCCUGGGAAACUGGGUCUAAUUCCCGAUAGGACUGCAGGGUGGUGCCUGUGGUGGAAAACGAUUUUCUAGUGGUUGGGGAUGUGCUCGCGGCCUAUCAGCUUGUGGGUGGGGUAAUGGCCAACCAAGGCGGGGACGGGUAGGCGGCCUGGGAGGGUGGGCGGCCACAUUGGGACUGAGAUACGGCCCAUACUCCUACGGGAGGCAGCAGUGGGGAAUAGUGAACAAGGGACAGAAGCCUGAUGCAGCGACGCCGCGUGGGGGAUGACGGCCUUCGGGUUGUAAACUCCUUUCGACCGCGAGGAAGCCACCUGGUUGGAAGGGUGGUGACGGUAGUGGUAGAAGAAGCACCGGCUAACUACGUG
rnacentral:rRNA from 1 species